AUACCUUAUUACUUAUAUUUACAUUUUUGAUCGGUAACAUUACUGAAUUGUGUUAACAACACGUUUCCAUACAUUUCAAAUUGUUGACGUCCACAACGAAGCGUCAUAGAUGUUCAAAAUGACGACAACACAAAACAAAGUUCUAUAAAAUGAAGAACUGUUUUAAUUAUUAAGACGCUAGAAAGCAAGUAUAUCAACAUAUACUUAUACAUUAACUCGGGAGUAUAUAAUGGAAAACUCUUCCAUAUGUCUAAUUUUAGGGGGUGGGGGAAUUAUGAUUCAAACGGGGAUGCGCAGUGUUACACUUAGAGUUGUGAUGCGCUUUGACUUUUGAAAAGUGAAGACGUUGAAGACCGACUUUGAAAGAUAUUCUGUGGAUAUUACGGAGUUAACAGAAGACUGAGAUGGAGGAACAUGAAGAACAGGGCGGCAGUCGUCAGGUGUAGGCAAAUCAUUUAUAGACAGGACAGAGGACGCAGCUCAGAUGAAUCUCCGGAAAGAACUGAACAUCGCAGAGAAUGUGGAACUGCACGAAGGUUUUUAACGACGCCUCGCUUCGAUGUCCCGACAUAAACUUGGAAACCGACAUCAAGCACCUAUGGCUGCUGUGGCACGGAAGCAGUGUGGUGUGUAGGUCUUAAUGCACUUUGACGACUUAUCGGCCAUACAUCCUGUGAAUGACCUUUUUGCUAAAGCCUAAUGUCAUCGUCUAGCAGUAGGUACAAUUCCGCAUCACCGAUGACCAGGGUGAAGUUGUAGCAGACGAAAGGCCUAGUAGGCUAGUAACUAAAGACAUUGUUUACAGAAAUGCUUUUAUCAAUUAUUGAUGAAAGUCCACUGCUUGGAAUACAAAUAAAACCGUAAAUACA